rnacentral:rRNA from 1 species
GAUGAACGCUGGCGGCGUGCCUAAUACAUGCAAGUCGAGCGAACGGACGAGAAGCUUGCUUUUCUGAUGUUAGCGGCGGACGGGUGAGUAACACGUGGAUAACCUACCUAUAAGACUGGGAUAACUUCGGGAAACCGGAGCUAAUACCGGAUAAUAUUUUGAACCGCAUGGUUCAAAAGUGAAAGACGGUCUUGCUGUCACUUAUAGAUGGAUCCGCGCUGCAUUAGCUAGUUGGUAAGGUAACGGCUUACCAAGGCAACGAUGCAUAGCCGACCUGAGAGGGUGAUCGGCCACACUGGAACUGAGACACGGUCCAGACUCCUACGGGAGGCAGCAGUAGGGAAUCUUCCGCAAUGGGCGAAAGCCUGACGGAGCAACGCCGCGUGAGUGAUGAAGGUCUUCGGAUCGUAAAACUCUGUUAUUAGGGAAGAACACAUGUGUAAGUAACUGUGCACAUCUUGACGGUUCCUAAUCAGAAAGCCACGGCUAACUACGUG